rnacentral:tRNA from 2 species
CGAAGUAUAGCUAGUAGAAUGGCAUUUCAUUUACAUUGAAAAUGAGUUAUCGUGCAAAUCGAUUUGCUUUGA